AAAUUGAAGAGUUUGAUCAUGGCUCAGAUUGAACGCUGGCGGCAGGCCUAACACAUGCAAGUCGAACGGUAACAGGAAGCAGCUUGCUGCUUUGCUGACGAGUGGCGGACGGGUGAGUAAUGUCUGGGAAACUGCCUGAUGGAGGGGGAUAACUACUGGAAACGGUAGCUAAUACCGCAUAACGUCGCAAGACCAAAGAGGGGGACCUUCGGGCCUCUUGCCAUCGGAUGUGCCCAGAUGGGAUUAGCUAGUAGGUGGGGUAACGGCUCACCUAGGCGACGAUCCCUAGCUGGUCUGAGAGGAUGACCAGCCACACUGGAACUGAGACACGGUCCAGACUCCUACGGGAGGCAGCAGUGGGGAAUAUUGCACAAUGGGCGCAAGCCUGAUGCAGCCAUGCCGCGUGUAUGAAGAAGGCCUUCGGGUUGUAAAGUACUUUCAGCGGGGAGGAAGGGAGUAAAGUUAAUACCUUUGCUCAUUGACGUUACCCGCAGAAGAAGCACCGGCUAACUCCGUGCCAGCAGCCGCGGUAAUACGGAGGGUGCAAGCGUUAAUCGGAAUUACUGGGCGUAAAGCGCACGCAGGCGGUUUGUUAAGUCAGAUGUGAAAUCCCCGGGCUCAACCUGGGAACUGCAUCUGAUACUGGCAAGCUUGAGUCUCGUAGAGGGGGGUAGAAUUCCAGGUGUAGCGGUGAAAUGCGUAGAGAUCUGGAGGAAUACCGGUGGCGAAGGCGGCCCCCUGGACGAAGACUGACGCUCAGGUGCGAAAGCGUGGGGAGCAAACAGGAUUAGAUACCCUGGUAGUCCACGCCGUAAACGAUGUCGACUUGGAGGUUGUGCCCUUGAGGCGUGGCUUCCGGAGCUAACGCGUUAAGUCGACCGCCUGGGGAGUACGGCCGCAAGGUUAAAACUCAAAUGAAUUGACGGGGGCCCGCACAAGCGGUGGAGCAUGUGGUUUAAUUCGAUGCAACGCGAAGAACCUUACCUGGUCUUGACAUCCACAGAACCUUGUAGAGAUACGAGGGUGCCUUCGGGAACUGUGAGACAGGUGCUGCAUGGCUGUCGUCAGCUCGUGUUGUGAAAUGUUGGGUUAAGUCCCGCAACGAGCGCAACCCUUAUCCUUUGUUGCCAGCGGUCCGGCCGGGAACUCAAAGGAGACUGCCAGUGAUAAACUGGAGGAAGGUGGGGAUGACGUCAAGUCAUCAUGGCCCUUACGACCAGGGCUACACACGUGCUACAAUGGCGCAUACAAAGAGAAGCGACCUCGCGAGAGCAAGCGGACCUCAUAAAGUGCGUCGUAGUCCGGAUUGGAGUCUGCAACUCGACUCCAUGAAGUCGGAAUCGCUAGUAAUCGUGGAUCAGAAUGCCACGGUGAAUACGUUCCCGGGCCUUGUACACACCGCCCGUCACACCAUGGGAGUGGGUUGCAAAAGAAGUAGGUAGCUUAACCUUCGGGAGGGCGCUUACCACUUUGUGAUUCAUGACUGGGGUGAAGUCGUAACAAGGUAACCGUAGGGGAACCUGCGGUUGGAUCACCUCCUUACCUUAAAGAA
rnacentral:rRNA from 1 species